UGAGGAGUGGCUUCCGGAGCUAACGCGUUAAGUCGACCGCCUGGGGAGUACGGCCGCAAGGUUAAAACUCAAAUGAAUUGACGGGGGCCCGCACAAGCGGUGGAGCAUGUGGUUUAAUUCGAUGCAACGCGAAGAACCUUACCUACUCUUGACAUCCAGAGAAUUUAGCAGAGAUGCUUUAGUGCCUUCGGGAACUCUGAGACAGGUGCUGCAUGGCUGUCGUCAGCUCGUGUUGUGAAAUGUUGGGUUAAGUCCCGCAACGAGCGCAACCCUUAUCCUUUGUUGCCAGCACGUAAUGGUGGGAACUCAAAGGAGACUGCCGGUGAUAAACCGGAGGAAGGUGGGGAUGACGUCAAGUCAUCAUGGCCCUUACGGGUAGGGCUACACACGUGCUACAAUGGCGCAUACAAAGAGAAGCGACCUCGCGAGAGCAAGCGGACCUCAUAAAGUGCGUCGUAGUCCGGAUUGGAGUCUGCAACUCGACUCCAUGAAGUCGGAAUCGCUAGUAAUC
rnacentral:rRNA from 1 species